UGCCUCACAUCUUCAGGUAUGUCUAGGAUUACAAAAUCAACAGGAAAACUCAAGUCAUCUAUUAUUACCAGUAUGUCUUCUUCUAUACCACAUGCAUCCUUUCUCGAGUGAUCCUCAAACUUAAAAUUUGUCUUUGUAUCACUGACAUUUUUAAUAUCCAACCUAUGAUAGAUUGAUAAUGGCAUCAAACUCACACUAGCUCCAGAAUCUAUUAGUACCCUUUUGAAGGUUCUUCUUUUAAUUGUGCAUGGUACUGUUAUCGUUCCAGGAUCCUUCUGUUUGUUU
rnacentral:lncRNA from 1 species